UACGUAGGAUGCAAGCGUUGUCCGGAAUUAUUGGGCGUAAAGAGCGAGCAGGCGGUUUGGAAAGUUGGACGUGAAAUUUUAGGGCUUAACCCUAAAGGGUCGUCCAAAACUCCCAGACUAGAGUGCAGGAGAGGAAAGCGGAAUUCCCGGUGUGAGUGGUGAAAUGCGUAGAGAGUCCGGAGGAACACCAAAGGCGAAGGCAGUGUCCUGGGAGUACCUGACGCUCAGGUGCGAAAGCCAGGG
rnacentral:rRNA from 1 species